UAGCAGCCCCUCUGGCAUUUGCCAGAACCCACAGAUUGCCAGUCUGGGCCUGUCCGAUACUAACCUGUCACCCCAAACUUGUCCUUAUACUAUUGGGGUAUUAAAAAGUGCUUUACAUACUGUAUUCUCCUUGUUUACACAAAUUAAUGAUUAUUUUAUAUUUUAACUAUAGGAAUUAGAAGACGCCAAUGACCUGGCAGAAGAAAUAAAUAGAAGCCUAUUAGUGCUAUCAGCUCAACUUCUCAAUCUGUGGGGAAAAUUCCUUCAAUCCUCCUUGGAGAGUGAACAAGAGAAGAAGCAAAUAAAGGAAGAAAAGUUCAAGAAAUUAUUCUUUUCUACUGACCAUCCCCGACAAGAAGCUAUUUUAUAUGAUGAGAAGAUCGCCCAAAGCCAUAAAAAGAUUUAUAAAGAAGUCAAAAAAGCUCCAAAAGAAGAUUGUUUCGAGUGCAAGGACUGGGUAUCAAAAUCUGCCCCCGUAAUCUUUGAAGACCUGUACUUAGAGCCUGAGAGAAUAGAUUGCUCAGAAGAAUUUCUAGAUUGCUCAGAAGCCUUUAUGGAUUGUUCAGAGGACUUCAUAGAUUGUUCAGAAGACUAUAUGGAUUGUUCAGAAAACUUUAUAGAUUGUUCAGAAGACUUUAUAGAUUGCUCAGAAGACGUUAAAUCUUCCCCUGUUGCUAGUACUGAAGAUAUGAGCAAGAAAAAUAUGUCUAUCAGAACAGUACCUGGAUAUAACAAGCCAUCUCAUUUGGGGAAAGGGUAAGUUCUGAUCCCUACCAAAUAUAAAUAUAAUGCACAAAAUGUAAUAUAAAAAAAACU